rnacentral:rRNA from 1 species
GAGCGAUCAAGUGCCUUAAGAGCAUCUGGUGGAUGCCUUGGCGCUGAGAGGCGAUGAAGGACGUGGUACGCUGCGAUAAGCCUUGGGGAGCUGCGAACGAGCUUUGAUCCAGGGAUCUCCGAAUGGGGAAACCCACCUUCGACCUUCCGUAUGGCAGCGGCUUUCGUCGACAGGAUGCGCGAGCAUCCAGCCCGGGUUCACGCCCGGGUGCCGGGAAAGCUUCUUCCAUACGGUUGGUCAGAUGAAGGUAUCAGGCCCUGAAUCCAUAGGGGUUUGAAGCGAACCCGGGGAACUGAAACAUCUCAGUACCCGGAGGAAAGGACAUCAACGAGACUCCGUCAGUAGUGGCGAGCGAACGCGGAUCAGGCCAGCGCCUGUGGUGAGAGUACCGGAACGGUCUGGAAAGGCCGGCGAUAUGGGUGACAGCCCCGUACGGGACGUUCGAACCUCAGGACACGAGUAGGGCGGGACACGUGAAAUCCUGUCUGAACACGGGGGGACCACCCUCCAAGCCUAAGUACUCCUCAGCGAC